AUCAGGAACUGAACACACCAUAUCCUCCUGAGACCCAGCAAUGCAUUUUUGUGCACUGUAGUACACAUUUAUUUUCUGCUCAUCUCUCUCAUUCUAUACACGCCACUCUGCUAAGUCCUAAUGUCUCUUAGAGAGGGCAACCGUAGCUUUAAGAUGACAUCUCAUGUGUGGGGGUGUGGCCUUGCCAACUUGCCUUUUUCUGUCUUUCCAAAAUGGCUAGCAUCUCAACAAGCACAUUUUAUGGAAGAAAGAAAGUUAAGCAUGAUAUUUAUAUUUGAAAUGUUUUUUAAUGUUUUAUUUGGAUUAAUUUUCAAAAAUGAACAUCUAAAAGGUCAUUUGAGUAAGUUUCCAGUAAC